CAUCAUUUAAAGAAAGCGUAAUAGCUCACUGGUCGAGUCGGCCUGCGCGGAAGAUGUAACGGGGCUAAACCAUGCACCGAAGCUGCGGCAGCGAACGUAUCACUUAAAGCGAUUCAGCGGGUUACGAUUGACGGAGCGAAGCGACGUCAAAGCGUAUACAAAGUCGAGUCGGUUUAAGGAUACGUUCGUUGGGUAGGGGAGCGUUCUGUAAGCCUGCGAAGGUGGCCUGUGAGGGUUGCUGGAGGUAUCAGAAGUGCGAAUGCUGACAUAAGUAACGAUAAAGCGGGUGAAAAGCCCGCUCGCCGGAAGACCAAGGGUUCCUGUCCAACGUUAAUCGGGGCAGGGUGAGUCGACCCCUAAGGCGAGGCCGAAAGGCGUAGUCGAUGGGAAACGGGUUAAUAUUCCCGUACUUGGUGUUACUGCGAAGGGGGGACGGAGAAGGCUAUGUUGGCCGGGCGACGGUUGUCCCGGUUUAAGCGUGUAGGCUGGUUUUCCAGGCAAAUCCGGAAAAUCAAGGCUGAGGCGUGACGACGAGGCACUACGGUGCUGAAGCAACAAAUGCCCUGCUUCCAGGAAAAGCCUCUAAGCAUCAGGUAACACGAAAUCGUACCCCAAACCGACACAGGUGGUCAGGUAGAGAAUACCAAGGCGCUUGAGAGAACUCGGGUGAAGGAACUAGGCAAAAUGGUGCCGUAACUUCGGGAGAAGGCACGCUGACACGUAGGUGAAGUGAUUUACUCAUGGAGCUGAAGUCAGUCGAAGAUACCAGCUGGCUGCAACUGUUUAUUAAAAACACAGCACUGUGCAAACACGAAAGUGGACGUAUACGGUGUGACGCCUGCCCGGUGCCGGAAGGUUAAUUGAUGGGGUCAGCGCAAGCGAAGCUCCUGAUCGAAGCCCCGGUAAACGGCGGCCGUAACUAUAACGGUCCUAAGGUAGCGAAAUUCCUUGUCGGGUAAGUUCCGACCUGCACGAAUGGCGUAAUGAUGGCCAGGCUGUCUCCACCCGAGACUCAGUGAAAUUGAACUCGCUGUGAAGAUGCAGUGUACCCGCGGCAAGACGGAAAGACCCCGUGAACCUUUACUAUAGCUUGACACUGAACAUUGAGCCUUGAUGUGUAG
rnacentral:rRNA from 1 species